GUGUGUCAAAGUCAAAGCAGACUGUUUGCGGAAGAUUGCAGUGAUAUCAGCAAGGUGGCAGGCAUCCCAUUUAUCCUCCGAUCCUCCUCUAGCCGUCCUAUUCGCCCCCUAUCACUGCCAUCAAACCCAGAGGCUAGCACUGCACAAAGCCUCAGAAAAGCCUUUUAGGAGCUAAGUGAAGUUUGUAGCCUGCUGGGAUUUUCUUUUUUUAAAUGUAAAAAAAAAAAGAAAAAAAAGGCCUUUCCUGGCUAUGUAUUUUCUAUCUGUCCUUUCGAAUGACAGAAUGGGAUCCUCAGGUGUUUUUGUGUGAAUAAAACACCUGAGAAUAUUUAACCCACGGUACCAAAGGUUGGCAUCUAAAGCUAGACUAGAAGUGGAAUAUCUGUAGGAAAAGAAUGACAGUUAGUUCAGGUAAUACAUCCUUCCUCAUGUCCAGAGUUGGGUUUUGUAGUUUAGACCACAUAUCCUUCUGCCUUCUGGUGUCAGAUCCCACUAGAAUUUCCUAUUCUUACAUUUACACAUAUGAGGAAUGUAUCCUCUGUAUUUAACCCAACCUAACUAAUUGGCAGCAGUGGGUAGCCAUAGUCGAGCGCCCGGAGACCAACUCCAGUUGUAAUGCCAGUGCCUAUCGAGGGCAAUGGCAGGAGUAGCCUAGCCCUGCCCGGACCGGGGAUCAAACCCGAUACAAAUGGUUGUAGGCAAAUUCUCGAAAUGCACGGAACAAAAUCAAUGAUCUUACACCAACUUUUUUCCACUUUCUAAAAACAUCUUAAAUUUUUUUUUUUGCAAUAUGAUGUUAAUAUUAACUAUUCAAUAAAUUAAGCAGUAUGUCAUCUUGAGCCACAUGGACGUAAAUAGAGUGUGGGACUGACUGACUCUUGUUGCAAAAAACAUUCAUAGGCCUACUUGCUUGAUUUUGUGGUGGCAGUAGCUCAGUCCGUUGGGACUUGGCUUGUCUCCGCACGGGACAACUAGUAGAGUGUGGACUAGUAGCUGUAGAGGCGCUAGUUUGCUUCCUGAGCGCUGCAGAGGUGCCCUCGAGCAAGGCACCAAACCCCCAACUGCCCGGGCCAAACCCCCAACUGCCCCCUCACUCUGACAUCUCCCCAUACAUAAUGCAUGUGUGUAGUUCCUGUUUGUGCAUGUGUGUAUUUCGGCCUGUGUGAAUAUAUAACAGAAUGAAAAAAGAAAAAAAUUGUCCUUGCGGGAUUCAUAAAUUAUAACUUCAUCUUUAUGUCCCCACAUCUGAUAAUCAGUUAAUAACCACAUCAAAUCUCAACCCGUGUAUCGAAACCAAACAUCGCAGUGAUGAUGUGAAGAUACAGAGAAAUAGAAAUGCAUAUUGUCAGUAUUUUAUGUCUUAUUAAGAGGAGCCAAGCUCUGGCCCCCCUGUAGUUUGCACCCUGGCCCUGCCAAUCAUCAUGACUUCAAUUAACAGUUUGGUGCAAUAAUACGGUUAAUUUGUUGCAUUCCCUCCCUUCAGUAGGACCGAGAUAGAGGAGAGAGAAGCUUUGAGCUUCAGAAGAGAAAAUAUGUCAAAUCCAUCCACAUCCCAUGCUGUUAGCUGUGGAAUUGGCUUUAAAUGAAAAAAAGACACACACGUUUUGUGCCCACCUACACACAUAUACACACAUACAGUAGAACUAGUACACGGCCUCUCAUGCAGUAGAAAACUAACACAAACCGAGGAUUAGGGUCAGAGAGAGAGAGUGAGUUGGUUAUAUAACUUUAUCUAUGUGGACAUCCUAUAAAAUCAGAAUAUGAGGGAAUAAGUAAUACCACAUAUGGCAUCAGCAAAACACCAACUUAAAAUGGAGCAUUUUACGUGAAAGAAUAAAAACGUGCUAUAUUAAUCCAAAUAAUCACGUAAGCUGCAGUGUGUUGUGUGCAAUAAAUCUCAUCCAUCCACUUAAACUAAUGUGUUUCUCAGAAAUGUGAUGGGGGUGAAGAAGGUAAGAGAGAAGUGUUGCAUUAAAAAAAAACAAAAAAAAACGGGGAAAGUAAGAUGCAAACCAGUGAAGAACAGGGCAGUAAAGAAUCUGUGUAAGAAAGGAGAAAAACAUUGAGGAAGAC